GAUCCUGCCGGAGGACAUUGCUAUUGGGAUUCGAUUUAGCCAUGCUAGUCGAACGAGUUCACACUCGUGGCACAUAGCUCAGUAACACGUGGCCAAGCUACCCUUCAGUCGGCAAUACCCUCGGGAAACUGAGGCUAAUAGCCGAUACGAAACAGACGCUGGAAUGCACUGUAUUCCAAAGACAUCGCUGAAGGAUGCGGCUGCGGCCGAUUAGGUAGACGGUGGGGUAACGGCCCACCGUGCCAGUAAUCGGUACGGGUGAUGAGAGUCAGAGCCCGGAGACGGAAUCUGAGACAAGAUUCCGGGCCCUACGGGGCGCAGCAGGCGCGAAACCUUUACACUGCACGAAAGUGCGAUAGGGGAAUCCCAAGUGCGAGGGCAUAUUAGCCCUCGCUUUUGUUGACUCUAAGGCGGUCAACGAAUAAGAGCUGGGCAAGACCGGUGCCAGCCGCCGCGGUAAUACCGGCAGCUCAAGUGAUGUCCCAUAUUAUUGGGCCUAAAGCGUCCGUAGCUGGCCGACCAAGUCUAUCGGGAAAUCCACCUGCCCAACAGGUGGGCGUCCGGUAGAAACUGGCCGGCUUGGAACCGGAAGGCUCAGAGAGUACGUCCGGGGUAGGAGUGAAAUCCCAUAAUCCCGCACGGACCACCGAUGGCGAAAGCACUUCGAGAAAACGGAUCCGACAGUGAGGGACGAAAGCCAGGGUCUCCAACCGGAUUAGAUACCCGGGUAGUCCUGGCCGUAAACAAUGUUCGCUAGGUAUGACACAGACUACGCGUCUCUGUUGUGCCGUAGGGAAGCCGAGAAGCGAACCGCCUGGGAAGUACGUCUGCAAGGAUGAAACUUAAAGGAAUUGGCGGGGGAGCACUACAACCGGAGGAGCCUGCGGUUUAAUUGGACUCAACGCCGGACAUCUCACCAGCUCCGACUACAGUGAUGACGACCAGGUUGAUGACCUCAUCACGACGCUGUAGAGAGGAGGUGCAUGGCCGCCGUCAGCUCGUACCGUGAGGCGUCCUGUUAAGUCAGGCAACGAGCGAGACCCGCACUCCUAAUUGCCAGCAACAAUUUCGAUUGGUUGGGUACAUUAGGAGGACUGCCAGUGUUAAACUGGAGGAAGGAACGGGCAACGGUAGGUCAGUAUGCCCCGAAUGAGCUGGGCAACACGCGGGCUACAAUGGCUAAGACAAUGGGUCGCUAUCUCGACAGAGAACGCUAAUCUCGAAACUUAGUCGUAGUUCGGAUUGAGGGCUGAAACUCGCCCUCAUGAAGCUGGAUUCGGUAGUAGCCGCCUUUCAGUAGAAGGCGACGAAUACGUCCCUGCUCCUUGUACACACCGCCCGUCA
rnacentral:rRNA from 1 species